GGCAUCUUGCACAUGAACGUUGUGUGCCCAUGGCCGCAUUCCCGGGAUCGGGUCCGCAAUCAUGGAGAUGCAGAACUGAAGCACAGAUCGGAACCCCAUGGGAGCACUACGGAGUGCUUCCGUGGUGUUUCUGUCCGUGCCUCCGCA